CGGCUGGACCCCAUGAGGCCUUCAGCCAGCUCUGGGCUCUCUGCUGUCGUUGGCUGAGACCUGAGCUUCGCCUGAAAGAACAGAUUCUGGAGCUGUUGGUGCUGGAGCAGUUCCUAUCUAUCUUACCCAGGGAGGUGCAGACCUGGGUGCAGGCACGACACCCCGAGAGCGGAGAGGAGGCGGUGGCCCUGGUGGAGGAUUGGCACCGAGAGGCCUGGGCUGCUGGACAGCAGAAUUUGGAUCCUGCUUGCAGCUGCCCCUGUGGCUGGCUUCAGGCUGAUGCAGCCUUUUGGACGGAAACUUCACCUCACACCCUUGCGGCUCUCCACUUGCUACAGUCAGGAAUCCCCAUGGCCUCGUACCUGACCACGUUUGGUUGUGAGGACUCUGUGUUAGAGAAUACAUAUGCUGUAAAUGACAAGGUUUUCUAUCCAUUUAAACCGUAAAGCUCCGUAUAGAUGAGAGAGUAGGGGAGGGAGGGCCGAGGUCCGUGGCUCUGCUCCUGGACUCCUUUAUAGACUGGCAGAAAGCUACCAUUUCACAUCCAAACACAGAGCUUGAGCACAGGGAAGAAACAGUGGAAUCCCUCGGACUCCGGAGCUGGAGGAUGAAGAAUGUGAGACCCUGAGAUGAGGAUUGAACUCAGAGCGUUUUCGAUACUCGACUGUGAAGUGAGAAGCCAGAUUAGGCUAGUUUUUCAAGCGACACCCCUGUGAAGUGGCCAAAGGUUGAACCUUCUAAAAUAGAAAAAGGAGAUAAAGC
rnacentral:lncRNA from 1 species